GUGGUAAUGCCGGAUGUUCCACAUGAUCGCAUGUGAUUGUGGGAAAGAUUCUAUCGGCGUGGGAUGGGGUCGCGUCCUAUCAGCUUGUUGGUGAGGUAACGGCUCACCAAGGCUUCGACGGGUAGCCGGCCUGAGAGGGCGACCGGCCACAUUGGGACUGAGAUACGGCCCAGACUCCUACGGGAGGCAGCAGUGGGGAAUAUUGCACAAUGGGCGCAAGCCUGAUGCAGCGACGCCGCGUGAGGGAUGGAGGCCUUCGGGUUGUAAACCUCUUUUGUUUGGGAGCAAGCCUUCGGGUGAGUGUACCUUUCGAAUAAGCGCCGGCUAACUACGUGCCAGCAGCCGCGGUAAUACGUAGGGCGCAAGCGUUAUCCGGAUUUAUUGGGCGUAAAGGGCUCGUAGGCGGCUCGUCGCGUCCGGUGUGAAAGUCCAUCGCUUAACGGUGGAUCUGCGCCGGGUACGGGCGGGCUGGAGUGCGGUAGGGGAGACUGGAAUUCCCGGUGUAACGGUGGAAUGUGUAGAUAUCGGGAAGAACACCA
rnacentral:rRNA from 1 species